UACAUAUCUGUAAAGACGCUCACAUCACUCUACCACCACUCCUGGCUGUGACUCUGUACCCACAUGUUUCUCUGUACAGACGUUGCUGCCACUGCUCCACAAAAUGCCAUGGCCACAAAUCUGGCUCUCCUCUUUCGUAUUCUCCUUAAAACGAUGCCAAUAAAAAUGUGCUAGCUACGGUUGGACAAUAACUUUAAAAUUGCUACAUACACUCCGCUGUUACCGCAAA